GCAAAGACCCUGAGACACCGAGAUAAA
rnacentral:piRNA from 1 species